GAUGAACGCUAGCGGCAGGCCUAAUACAUGCAAGUCGAACGGUGUAGCAAUACACAGUGGCGCACGGGUGCGUAACACGUAUGCAACCUACCUUACAUUGGGGGAUAGCCUUUCGAAAGGGAGAUUAAUACCGCAUAAGACAGUAACUAGGCAUCUAGUAGCUGUUAAAGAUUUAUCGAUGUAAGCUGGGCAUGCGUCCAAUUAGUUAGUUGGCGAGGUAAUGGCUCACCAAGACGAUGAUUGGUAGGGGAACUGAAAGGUCAAUCCCCCACACUGGGACUGAGAUACGGGCCAGACUCCUCCGGGAGACAGCAGUAGGGAAUAUUGGGCAAUGGGCGCAAGCCUGACCCAGCCAUGCCGCGUGCAGGAAGAAGGCGUUAUGCGUUGUAAACUGCUUUUAUACAGGAAGAAACGACCCUUGCGAGGGGCAUUGACGGUACUGUAUGAAUAAGCACCGGCUAACUCCGUGCCAGCAGCCGCCGUAACAC
rnacentral:rRNA from 1 species